UCUAAUAUGGCAGAAUAGUGCAUUGGAUUUAAAUCCCAAAUAUAAAGAAAAUUUUUUUAGAA
rnacentral:tRNA from 1 species